CGGGACGGGUGAGUAAUGCUUGGGAAUCUAGCUUAUGGAGGGGGAUAACUACGGGAAACUGUAGCUAAUACCGCGUAAUAUCGAAAGAUUAAAGUGUGGGACCUUCGGGCCACAUGCCAUAGGAUGAGCCCAAGUGGGAUUGGGUAGUUGGUGAGGUAAAGGCUCACCAAGCCGACGAUCUCUAGCUGGUCUGAGAGGAUGACCAGCCACACUGGGACUGAGACACGGCCCAG
rnacentral:rRNA from 1 species